rnacentral:lncRNA from 1 species
GUUAUUCCGUUCUUACUUUUUAUUUAUACGUAUGUAGUAUAUAUUCGUUUUAGAAGCUCAGCUGUAGUAGGCUUCCAUAUAUUUUUCAAAGGUCUUUAGUGACAUUUCUCCCUCUCCAUACUCCUCAACCCUACUCUUCCACCUCAAUCCAGAUUUAACCUUCAUGUUCCAUUACACCCUUUUACCCUCGAACCAGCUCAUUUUAUCUCAUCUCCCUCUAAACCCCCUCUCCAUGACCCACCCCUCCAUAGUUCUCUGGCCUCUGUAGGCAUGCCACAUGAAAUAUACCUGAAAGUAAAUUCCCUUUCCUCUUCCCACCCUGAUGAUCCAGGCUACUGAUCUCAGCAGAAAGCCGACGAAGUGUCUGUGGCCCUUUAGAAUACAUUCUCACAGCUGUCAGGCUUUCAUCUGGCACUCAGUUGACUUUUCUAGAUCAUAGUCUAUUAAAAAACAACACAAAACACUUCAGCCU